UCAGUGUCUUUUUUGCUUUGAAUCAGAAAAACAAAUUCCAUUUGAAAGUCAUUACUCAGGAUUUAUCUUCAUUAUUGAAUUUACAAGGUGCAAGAUCCUGUAAGGGAGAAAAAUAUGGAAGAAUGCAUACCGGGGAACUGACGUAGGUUGGGGGAAUGAGAAGAUGAUGAUUUGGAUGGCUGGGGAUGGAGAGGAGAAGAUAAACGUGGGCAAAAAAGAAAGAAAGAAAAAAGAUCAGGUUCUCCAGACUGGACAGCCAUUCCUAGAUUAACCAGAAGAAAGUGGAUGAUCAGCUCACUAGCCACAUCAAAGGUACCAAUUCUCUAAAGGGUAGACUCUGUGCAGCUUUGAAGCCUGGAAGACAAUACCUACCAACAUGUCAAAGCAACAGUGGAACAUUUCUGCUAUAAUGAAGAUUAAAUAGAAUAGUAACAGUUCCAGGAUAACAUUGAUUCCUGACAACAGCGUGAGAUUUCAACAGAACUUGUUUGGAACAAAUACUCACUUAAAACUUCAGCAGAAGAAAAAUUACUUAGUCCUUAGGCCAACCAAUUUAACUGCAGUGUCAUAUGUUUCACAGGCCUUCCUACAUUUAGAAAUCGUCACACGGCUAAGAGUAGAUUAUUUUACUACAGAAUAAUUGUGAAUAGAUGAAAGCAUAAAAUAUGAGAAACUGAAUGUAUUAUUCAGGAAGAAUACUGAGUGCCUUCAUUUAACUAAAGUUGAAUGUAAAAGUCAAUUUGCACUUCUUUAUAAUCCUCUGGUUUAGAAUUAUAAAUUGUUAAAACCUUGAUGAUUGUCAUUUAAUUAUAUUUCAGGUGUCCUGAACAGGUCACUAGACUCUACAUUGGGCGGCCUUUAAAUAUGAUUCUUUGU